rnacentral:lncRNA from 1 species
GAGAGAGAGAGAGAGAGAGAGAAGCAGGCAAGCGACAGUCCCCCACUCUCAAGCUAAACAGGUGACCAAUAGGUACCUGGGGACUUGGAGGUCCGUGAGUCUUGCGGAGCCUUCUGGUGGAAGCCUGGGGAUAGGGGUGGGGGUGGGGGACCGUCGCUGCCAGCGCCGUGGGAGCUCGAGGAAUCCGCAGGUCGCUGGUCCUCCCACGCCACCGAGCCUCCCACGGGCGCGCCAAGAGCGGCCUCGCGCGAGUGACCUCGGCAAAGCCCUUGCCGGGAGGAAAGCCCCGCAGAGCCAGGCAAGAGGCUGCCGCCGCCGUCCAGCCCUUUUCCACAGGAAGCCCUGCCCCCUGUCGCCUCUCUGAGGUCUCCUGACUGACCGGGUUUGAGUCGCCGGGCACCCGGGGCGACCGCACCUUCUCCAACAAGAGGCAGCUCUAGAUGGCAUGUGACCCGGGAGCUGGGCUUUGAGAAGAAAGGAACUGGGUCGGUUCCAGAUUAAGAGCUGCUGUGGGGUGGUGGACCAGCAGGCAGUUGGAGGACUCGUUGGGGACCCUAAGAAUGUGCGCCUGAUCUCGGGCCUUGGGAGGCAGUGGCUACUCUCUGCUCAACCCGAGGCGUGGGGAGCGGAUGAGAGUCCAGCCAGACAGGAUUGGAACCUUCCUCGGGAUGCUGCCACCCUGCGCACAAGCCGUCCAGAAGCCUCCUCACCUGUCACUUCCGGCUAACCAACCUUUCUUCGCCCAACACCUAGUGCUGAGUGGUGACAGGGGCAACAGCCUCGUGAGGGUCUUUCAGAGGACCGACUGGAUACCCGGACACUAAUUUCCGAAGUUCAAGGAGGUUGGGAUGGAAAUACAGAAGGCAGCUGUGGAGAGAGGUAGGAGAGGGCUUCUAUUUAGGGAGAAGAGCGAUGGAGAGCAGAGCGAAGAGAACCAGAGUGACUGUAGAAGUUGCCAAGGAUGUUCUAGUUGUCCGUUCCGUCGUCCCCUCUGCUUGGGAACCUGAAUAGCAAUUCCCACAGUCUUUCCAUGGAAACUGUUUAUUUGUCUGGACUCUGUCCUUAAUGUCAGGGGAGGUAGGUCUUUUUCUGGGACAAUAAAAUGAUGUGGCUUCUGCACUGUUGUCAGUCUACUGGAGGGCCUCCCCCCCCCCCCCAAUUCUGCUGGGAAGCCUCGGCUGGGAAAGGACUUAAGUACAUUUAAGUGAGGCAGAUUCCAGUAAGGGAUGUAAUUUCGUUGGUUAAUGAUCAACGUUUAUUAUUCCUUCUUGGAAGAAGAGACAGCCACGGAAUCUUCUUUCGAUUGAGCUGUAUCAAAGCAGGUACAAGAUAAGACAUUGCCAAGUGAUUGUGCCAAAUAAACCCAGGCAAUAAAGUAACAUAAAAAUCGGA